rnacentral:rRNA from 1 species
GGGUUGUGAGGUUAAGCGACUAAGCGUACACGGUGGAUGCCCUGGCAGUCAGAGGCGAUGAAGGACGUGCUAAUCUGCGAUAAGCGUCGGUAAGGUGAUAUGAACCGUUAUAACCGGCGAUUUCCGAAUGGGGAAACCCAGUGUGAUUCGUCACACUAUCAUUAACUGAAUCCAUAGGUUAAUGAGGCGAACCGGGGGAACUGAAACAUCUAAGUACCCCGAGGAAAAGAAAUCAACCGAGAUUCCCCCAGUAGCGGCGAGCGAACGGGGAGCAGCCCAGAGCCUGAAUCAGUGUGUGUGUUAGUGGAAGCGUCUGGAAAGGCGCGCGAUACAGGGUGACAGCCCCGUACACAAAAAUGCACAUACUGUGAGCUCGAUGAGUAGGGCGGGACACGUGGUAUCCUGUCUGAAUAUGGGGGGACCAUCCUCCAAGGCUAAAUACUCCUGACUGACCGAUAGUGAACCAGUACCGUGAGGGAAAGGCGAAAAGAACCCCGGCGAGGGGAGUGAAAAAGAACCUGAAACCGUGUACGUACAAGCAGUGGGAGCACGCUUAGGCGUGUGACUGCGUACCUUUUGUAUAAUGGGUCAGCGACUUAUAUUCUGUAGCAAGGUUAACCGAAUAGGGGAGCCGAAGGGAAACCGAGUCUUAACUGGGCGUUAAGUUGCAGGGUAUAGACCCGAAACCCGGUGAUCUAGCCAUGGGCAGGUUGAAGGUUGGGUAACACUAACUGGAGGACCGAACCGACUAAUGUUGAAAAAUUAGCGGAUGACUUGUGGCUGGGGGUGAAAGGCCAAUCAAACCGGGAGAUAGCUGGUUCUCCCCGAAAGCUAUUUAGGUAGCGCCUCGUGAAUUCAUCUCCGGGGGUAGAGCACUGUUUCGGCAAGGGGGUCAUCCCGACUUACCAACCCGAUGCAAACUACGAAUACCGGAGAAUGUUAUCACGGGAGACACACGGCGGGUGCUAACGUCCGUCGUGAAGAGGGAAACAACCCAGACCGCCAGCUAAGGUCCCAAAGUCAUGGUUAAGUGGGAAACGAUGUGGGAAGGCCCAGACAGCCAGGAUGUUGGCUUAGAAGCAGCCAUCAUUUAAAGAAAGCGUAAUAGCUCACUGGUCGAGUCGGCCUGCGCGGAAGAUGUAACGGGGCUAAACCAUGCACCGAAGCUGCGGCAGCGACGCUGAUGCGUUGUUGGGUAGGGGAGCGUUCUGUAAGCCUGCGAAGGUGUGCUGUGAGGCAUGCUGGAGGUAUCAGAAGUGCGAAUGCUGACAUAAGUAACGAUAAAGCGGGUGAAAAGCCCGCUCGCCGGAAGACCAAGGGUUCCUGUCCAACGUUAAUCGGGGCAGGGUGAGUCGACCCCUAAGGCGAGGCCGAAAGGCGUAGUCGAUGGGAAACAGGUUAAUAUUCCUGUACUUGGUGUUACUGCGAAGGGGGGACGGAGAAGGCUAUGUUGGCCGGGCGACGGUUGUCCCGGUUUAAGCGUGUAGGCUGGUUUUCCAGGCAAAUCCGGAAAAUCAAGGCUGAGGCGUGAUGACGAGGCACUACGGUGCUGAAGCAACAAAUGCCCUGCUUCCAGGAAAAGCCUCUAAGCAUCAGGUAACAUCAAAUCGUACCCCAAACCGACACAGGUGGUCAGGUAGAGAAUACCAAGGCGCUUGAGAGAACUCGGGUGAAGGAACUAGGCAAAAUGGUGCCGUAACUUCGGGAGAAGGCACGCUGAUAUGUAGGUGAAGUCCCUCGCGGAUGGAGCUGAAAUCAGUCGAAGAUACCAGCUGGCUGCAACUGUUUAUUAAAAACACAGCACUGUGCAAACACGAAAGUGGACGUAUACGGUGUGACGCCUGCCCGGUGCCGGAAGGUUAAUUGAUGGGGUUAGCGCAAGCGAAGCUCUUGAUCGAAGCCCCGGUAAACGGCGGCCGUAACUAUAACGGUCCUAAGGUAGCGAAAUUCCUUGUCGGGUAAGUUCCGACCUGCACGAAUGGCGUAAUGAUGGCCAGGCUGUCUCCACCCGAGACUCAGUGAAAUUGAACUCGCUGUGAAGAUGCAGUGUACCCGCGGCAAGACGGAAAGACCCCGUGAACCUUUACUAUAGCUUGACACUGAACAUUGAGCCUUGAUGUGUAGGAUAGGUGGGAGGCUUUGAAGUGUGGACGCCAGUCUGCAUGGAGCCGACCUUGAAAUACCACCCUUUAAUGUUUGAUGUUCUAACGUGGACCCGUAAUCCGGGUUGCGGACAGUGUCUGGUGGGUAGUUUGACUGGGGCGGUCUCCUCCUAAAGAGUAACGGAGGAGCACGAAGGUUGGCUAAUCCUGGUCGGACAUCAGGAGGUUAGUGCAAUGGCAUAAGCCAGCUUGACUGCGAGCGUGACGGCGCGAGCAGGUGCGAAAGCAGGUCAUAGUGAUCCGGUGGUUCUGAAUGGAAGGGCCAUCGCUCAACGGAUAAAAGGUACUCCGGGGAUAACAGGCUGAUACCGCCCAAGAGUUCAUAUCGACGGCGGUGUUUGGCACCUCGAUGUCGGCUCAUCACAUCCUGGGGCUGAAGUAGGUCCCAAGGGUAUGGCUGUUCGCCAUUUAAAGUGGUACGCGAGCUGGGUUUAGAACGUCGUGAGACAGUUCGGUCCCUAUCUGCCGUGGGCGCUGGAGAAUUGAGGGGGGCUGCUCCUAGUACGAGAGGACCGGAGUGGACGCAUCACUGGUGUUCGGGUUGUCAUGCCAAUGGCACUGCCCGGUAGCUAAAUGCGGAAGAGAUAAGUGCUGAAAGCAUCUAAGCACGAAACUUGCCCCGAGAUGAGUUCUCCCUGACUCCUUGAGAGUCCUGAAGGAACGUUGAAGACGACGACGUUGAUAGGCCGGGUGUGUAAGCGCAGCGAUGCGUUGAGCUAACCGGUACUAAUGAACCGUGAGGCUUAACCUUACAACGCCGAAG